rnacentral:rRNA from 1 species
GAUGAACGCUGGCGGCGUGCCUAAUACAUGCAAGUCGAGCGAAUGGAUUAAGAGCUUGCUCUUAUGAAGUUAGCGGCGGACGGGUGAGUAACACGUGGGUAACCUGCCCAUAAGACUGGGAUAACUCCGGGAAACCGGGGCUAAUACCGGAUAAUAUUUUGAACUGCAUGGUUCAAAAUUGAAAGGCGGCUUCGGCUGUCACUUAUGGAUGGACCCGCGUCGCAUUAGCUAGUUGGUGAGGUAACGGCUCACCAAGGCAACGAUGCGUAGCCGACCUGAGAGGGUGAUCGGCCACACUGGGACCGAGACACGGCCCAGACUCCUACGGGAGGCAGCAGUAGGGAAUCUUCCGCAAUGGACGAAAGUCUGACGGAGCAACGCCGCGUGAGUGAUGAAGGCUUUCGGGUCGUAAAGCUCUGUUGUUAGGGAAGAACAAGUGCUAGUUGAAUAAGCUGGCACCUUGACGGUACCUAACCAGAAAGCCACGGCUAACUACGUGCCAGCAGCCGCGGUAA